GCGGACGUGGUGCACGGUGCACCGCUGCAUUUAAUAAAAGAGUGUGGUCCGGUAUGCAUUCAGCAGCUAGACGGGGUUCGACUCCCCGCGUCCGCC